rnacentral:rRNA from 1 species
UCAGGACGAACGCUGGCGGCGUGCUUAACACAUGCAAGUGGAGCGACGAACCAGGUUUACCUGGGGCAGAGCCGCGAACGGGUGAGUAACACGUGGGUAACCUACCCCGAUGACUGGGACAACCCGGGGAAACUCGGGCUAAUACCGGAUGUGCCCAUCCCACACCAGUGGGAUGUGUAAAGGAAGCUUCGGCCUCCGCAUCGGGAGGGGCUCGCGGCCCAUUAGCUUGUUGGUGAGGUAACGGCUCACCAAGGCAUCUAUGGGUAGCUGGUCUGAGAGGACGAUCAGCCACACUGGGACUGAGACACGGCCCAGACUCCUACGGGAGGCUGCAGUGGGGAAUCUUGCACAAUGCGCGAAAGCGUGAUGCAGCAACGCCGCGUGAGGGAAGAAGGCUCUCGGGUCGUAAACCUCUUUCAGUUGGGAAGAAGCUUCGUCGGUUAAUAGCCGGCUGGAGUGACGGUACCUUCAGAAGAAGCUCCGGCUAACUACGUGCCAGCAGCCGCGGUAAUACGUAGGGAGCAAGCGUUGUCCGGAAUCAUUGGGCGUAAAGAGCGUGUAGGCGGUCCGAUUAGUCCGUUGUGAAAGUCCAAGGCUCAACCUUGGAAUGCCGGUGGAUACUGUCGGGCUAGAGUACGGAAGAGGCGAGUGGAAUUCCUGGUGUAGCGGUGAAAUGCGCAGAUAUCAGGAGGAACACCUACAGCGAAGGCAGCUCGCUGGUACGUUACUGACGCUGAGACGCGAAAGCGUGGGGAGCGAACAGGAUUAGAUACCCUGGUAGUCCACGCCGUAAACGAUGGGCACUAGAUGUGGGAGGUGUCGACUCCUCCCGUGU